rnacentral:rRNA from 1 species
UAUCCUACGGGACGCAGCAGUCGGGAAUAUUGCGCAAUGGAGGAAACUCUGACGCAGUGACGCCGCGUAUAGGAAGAAGGUUUUCGGAUUGUAAACUAUUGUCGUUAGGGAAGAUAAAAGACUGUACCUAAGGAGGAAGCCCCGGUUAACUAUGUGCCAGCAGCCGCGGUAAUACGUAGGGGGCAAGCGUUAUCCGGAUUUACUGGGUGUAAAGGGAGCGUAGACGGCAGCGCAAGUCUGGAGUGAAAUGCCGGGGCCCAACCCCGGAACUGCUCUGGAAACUGUGAAGCUGG